rnacentral:rRNA from 1 species
UACCGAGUUUCCAACUCACAACCCACUGCGAACAUACCUACGUUGCUUCGGCGGUCCCCGGCUCCGGCCGCGCCGCCGAGGAACCCAAACUCUUGUUUUUCCAAUGUGUAAUUCUGAGUAUCUUGAAAUAAAUCAAAACCUUCAACAACGGAUCUCUUGGCUCUGGCAUCGAUGAAGAACGCAGCGAAAUGCGAAAAGUAAUGUGAAUUGCAGAAUUCAGUGAAUCAUCGAAUCUUUGAACGCACAUUGCGCCCGCUGGUACUCCGGCGGGCACGCCUGUCCGAGCGUCAUUUCAACCCUCAGUACCCGCCCUCACGGGCGCGGGACUGGUGUUGGGGCCCGGCCGCCAUCACCGGCGGCCGUCCCCUAAAUUCAGUGGCGGUCACGCCGCAAUCCCUUGCGUAGUAACACACCUCGCACCGGAGAGCGACGCGGUCCACGCCGUGAAACCCCCAAUUUUCAAUGGUUGACCUCGGAUCAGGUGGGAAUACCCGCUGAACUUAAGCAUAUCAAUAAGCGGAGGAAAAGA